rnacentral:misc_RNA from 1 species
GAGACUGAAGGUGAAGAAGGUAUACAGGAGGGUGACAUUGUCACCGUUCAAGCUUGGGUAACCAUCAAACGUGCUAAUGGCUUGGUUGGUGCACUCCACCAUGCUCCCUACUUCACAAGGAAGAGAAUUUCUGGUUUCUGCUUGCAGAUCCCAUCUCAAAUAAUGUGUGGUUUUCCCAGAAGGUAAAUUUCAUGGAUGAAGCUGCAGCUAUAACUACUGCUUCUAAGGCAAUUGAGGAGACUAUGGAGGGGUCUGGAGCAAGUGUUAAGGAGACAAGUACAGCGGUCAGAAAAGCAGUUGAGAAGGUGCGAGAUGGCUCCAGACUGGUGAUGGGCAAGUUUCCAGCACCGUCUGAGGGGAACUACAAUUUGACUUGUUACUGCUUGUGUGACUCUUGGAUAGGUUGUGACAAAAGGACUAACUUGAAGGUUAAAAUUCUGAAACGAACAAGGGCCGGCGCUCGGGGUGGUUCCAUCUCUGAAGAGGGAGCCAUUGCAGAGGAUGGGCUUGAAGAGGAAGAGGAGAAUGAAGAAGAGGAAUAUGAUGAUUAUGAAAGCGAGUAUAGUGAAGACGAGGAAGAUGAAAAAGAUACAAAAAAGAAGGGCCCUGCUGCAAAUGGCACUGUGCAUGAAAUAGGAUCAAGCUCAGAAGGUUCAGGCACAGAUGAGGAAUGAAACACCAUUUUAUUUAUCCAUGGAAAAGAAUAAGAUUUUAAUUUAUUCGGUGGAUGAACUUUAACGACCAUCUCAGUGACUGUCAUUCACGUCUCCUCCCUGUUUGGGCAAAAGCUUUAUUAUUUUUGAUACCGUUGACUGGGUUCUCGACUAAUUUUGGCCCUCUAUGUAUUUUCAGUCCGGAUUUUUACCGCACUAAUUUGUUCUUAACGAGCCACCACUGCCGCU